rnacentral:rRNA from 1 species
UACGGAGGGGGCUAGCGUUGUUCGGAAUUACUGGGCGUAAAGGGCGCGUAGGUGGCCUGCUAAGCGUGCGGUGAAAGCUCGGGGCUCAACCCCGAGUCGGCCGUGCGAACUGGUGGGCUUGAGCACUGUAGAGGCAGGCGGAAUUCCGGGUGUAGCGGUGGAAUGCGUAGAGAUCCGGAAGAACACCGGUGGCGAAGGCGGCCUGCUGGGCAGUAGCUGACACUGAGGCGCGACAGCGUGGGGAGCAAACAGG